AAGUAUGAAGCAAUUUUUGCAGUUAGUUUCGACCUAACCCUUAGAUUUUAUUAAUCCUUACUUU
rnacentral:tRNA from 1 species